UACUCCUCUCGUCUAACUGGAGUACCGCAGUCGACGGCAAGCACUUCCUGGUUCGACUUAUCGCGUCCAGACAAGACGCGAUAAGUUGAACCCAGAACUUCGAUUGCCAGCCGCCGAAUUAGCGGCUGGGUGUAGACAUACCCUAAGUCGGAAGCUGUUCCCCCGGGAAAGACAUUUCUCAACGAUAGAGAAAGAGGCCCUGGCGGUACGGUGGGCUAUCGACGCCCUACGUUACUACCUGCUAGGGAAUAGUUUUAAGUUAAUCACAGAUCACGCCCCUUUGCGAUGGAUCCACAGCAUGAAAGACACGAACGCUAGAAUUAUGCGGUGGUACCUCGCCCUCCAGCCUUACGACUUCCAGGUGCUCCACCGACCAGAGAGUGCGAGAGGAGGGAGCAUACCCCAGCCUAGGCAGGCGGCCGUGGGAGAAGAACUCUUGCGGGAAGCCCUGGUGGAGGACCAGCCCACACUCCUGGAACCGCCGAGGACUGCGACUUCUCCAGGUCGAGAGGGAGCCUCACUGUGGGAGGGACCAGCCGAGGCGGUGGACCACGAGACCCGUGGAGAAUCAGGAGACCCAUGGGACGCUCCAGCAGCGGAACGGAUAGGAGGCAGUUUAAGGGAAGCGACGGACUGGUACGUCGGACCCGGGAGCGGCCGGUCAGAACCACACCAGGUCCUGGACUGUGAGUAUCGGACUCGAGGGUGUGGGGCUGUUGUUUAACCACCCCCCCGGAAGGGGGUGUGAAUGGACCAGGGAACACUGUCGGAGGGCAGUGCUCCGGAAGAGGACGCCAUACGUGGAGAGCAGCGCAAACCCGCGCACCCAACGAAGGCGAGACAACAGGCGGGACGCCACCCAAAGAGGGCGCUCUACUGGCUAAAACUAAUUCCCCGAGAUGACCAGGAGGAGGCGCCGCAGUGGUGAGCUACUGACCCUGUCACAGAGUUCGUUGCUAAUGCCUGCCUGCCGACGUUGGAGCCGACCAAUAUGGUCUAAGCACUCCCGAGGGUUUAGCCCAUUUGUAAGUAUCUUGAUCAAAUGCUUAUAAAUAUUUGCAUCCGAAGAAGUGGGUAUUCAUCCACGAAAGCUCAUGCUCCUAUACGUCUGUUAGUCUAUAAGGUGCCAUAGGACUCUUUGCUGCUUUUAUAAAUAUUUUGUUACUCAUGGAGGAUAGGUCCAUCAAUGCUAUCAGUCAAGAUGGGCAGGAAUUGUGUCCCUAGCCUCUGUUUGCCAGAAGCUGGGAAUGGGCAACUGGAUGGAUCACUUGAUGAUUACCUGUUCUGUUCAUUCUCUCUGAAACAUCUGGCAUUGGCCACCAUCAGAAGACAGGAUACUGGGCUAGAUGGACCAUUGGCAUGACCCAGUAUGGCUGUUCUUAUAUUUGGAUGUACUAAAUUGCUUAUUAGCCUUUUUCUGCAUGUUUAGAGCAAUUGUAUAAAUACCAUUUGGCCUUUGGAUUUAAUAAAAGAAUUUAUGGUUAAAUUGGUUUUGGUGAUUGCCCAUAUCAAAAAUUCCACCACCACAAAACUGGCUUGAGCUAGAAGUUAGAGCAGGAUGCAGAGCCCUCAUAUCUUCUUUAAUUGUUGGCUGGAGGGUCCCCCUAUUUCAGUAGGAGCACUGCUAUGGUUCCGCUGCAUUGUUCCAGACUAAGGGAGUCAUCUGCUUGCUUGUGAACAAGAGCUAAGGGAAAAGACCCUCUUUCAAGUCUAUUUUUACCUUCCUAUCAAUGAUUAGGGGAAAUCAUUUGAUUGUGUAUGCAUUCUGCCUGGAACCACAGGACCUUCAAACAGUCAUUUCAGUGCCUGAAAAGACUUAGGCAUAUGGGGCAAAAAACCACAUUUCUGGUGAUGAAUGGUGGCAGGGCAGUAGGUGUAUUUUAAUGCAGGGAACUAAGUGCUAUCCAGGGUUAGUUUGGUGCAGACUCCUUCAAGAAGGCUGAGAGCACCCUUUUGAUGACUAACUGGAGAUAAUUCUUGACAAACAUGUAAGUUUGUGGAAGGGAAGGAGAUGUGAAUUGGUCUGUUGCUGUGUGCAGGAGGUAUGAAUGGCAUUCUUUGUCUUGAUGUUAGAAACACUGUACUGAGAGCAAAGGGGUCUCAAUGUUCUCUUUGGUCGACAACAGCUUUUUGAGUUGCCUGGCCAGAGCCAUCCUGCCACCCAUGGGGAAAGUGAACACUGCCAUCCCCGGCUGGAACCAACAGCCAACUGCAACCAGACAUCGCCAUCGCCAACGAGGAUGGGAAGAAGACCUUCAUGGUGGACGUCACAGUGCCCUUCAAGAACAGGACCCCGGCCUUCUGCGAUGCCCGAACUCAAAAGCUGGAGAAAUAUACUCCUCUAGCUGAAACCUUGAGAGCUAAGGGUUACCCAGGUUCAGACACAUGCACUGAUCGUCAGAGCCUUGGGCACAUGGGACCCCAGUAACGAGCAAGUGUUGUGGGAAUGUGGAAUCAGUCAACGCUACACUCGGCUGAUGCGGCAACUCAUGGUGUUGGACGCCAUCAGAUGCUCGAGGGACAUCUACAAAGAACAUGUCACUGGACAUCGGCAAUACCAGGAGGGAUGAGCUGGAGUGCCGAUAAGAAGUACAGUGGGGAAAGUAACUGAAAUACUUCCCUCAUGGAUUGUAUUUUCUAAAUGGACAACCUACCCUAAAUUCUCAAUUACUGAGGGACAAUCUUCACCCAUUGCUAUAUUUGCUUUCCACAACCAACUCUCUGUAUGAACUUUUUAUGAGUUGUGUACUCAAAUACUUGGAUGCUAAUAUCUAAAUUGUAUUCUUAAAUGCAUUCACCUAAAUUUGGGUUAUUGCUAAUUAUGCACUAUAUGUUUCUUAUGACUUUAAAAACAAACUUUGUAUUUGUGGAUAAUCUAAGCCCUAUACCCAGAUGUACAGACACUCGUUUCUCAACCUGUGUAUUAUAUAAUUUUAACAUUAACUUUAAUAAAAUUUUUAGUUCUUAC